AUUGAACGCUGGCGGCAUGCUUUACACAUGCAAGUCGAACGGCAGCGCGGGCUUCGGCCUGGCGGCGAGUGGCGAACGGGUGAGUAAUGCAUCGGAACGUGCCCAGUAGUGGGGGGUAGCCCGGCGAAAGCCGGAUUAAUACCGCAUACGACCUGAGGGUGAAAGCGGGGGACCGAAAGGCCUCGCGCUAUUGGAGCGGCCGAUGUCGGAUUAGCUAGUUGGUGGGGUAAAGGCUUACCAAGGCGACGAUCCGUAGCUGGUCUGAGAGGACGACCAGCCACACUGGGGCUGGGACACGGCCCAGACUCCUACGGGAGGCAGCAGUGGGGAAUUUUGGACAAUGGGGGCAACCCUGAUCCAGCCAUGCCGCGUGCGGGAAGACGGCCUUCGGGUUGUAAACCGCUUUUGUUCGGGAAGAAAUCCUCUGGGCUAAUACCCCGGGGGGAUGACGGUACCGGAAGAAUAAGCACCGGCUAACUACGUG
rnacentral:rRNA from 1 species